CUACGGGAUGCUCCAGUGAGGAAUAUUGCACAAUGGGGGGAACCCUGAUGCAGCAACGCCGCGUGGAGGAUGACGCAUUUCGGUGUGUAAACUCCUUUUAUAUGUCAAGAAAAUGACGGUAGCAUAUGAAUAAGCACCGGCUAACUCCGUGCCAGCAGCCGCGGUAAUACGGAGGGGGCAGCGUUACUCGGAAUCACUGGGCGUAAAGGACGCGUAGGCGGGUUGGAAAGUCAGGUGUGAAAUCCUACAGCUUAACUGUAGAACUGCACUUGAAACUUCUAAUCUAGAGUAUGGGAGGGGGAGAUGGAAUUAGUGGUGUAGGGGUAAAAUCCGUAGAUAUCACUAGGAAUACCUAAAGCGAAGGCGAUCUCCUGGAACAUUACUGACGCUAAGGCGUGAAAGCGUGGGGAGCAAACAGGAUUAGAUACCCGAGUAGUC
rnacentral:rRNA from 1 species